GAUGAAGAACGUAGCGAAAUGCGAUAAGUAGUGUGAAUUGCAGAAUUCAGUGAAUCAUCGAAUCUUUGAACGCACAUUGCGCCCCCUGGUAUUCCGGGGGGCAUGCCUGUUCGAGCGUCAUUUGUACCUUCAAGCUCUGCUUGGUGUUGGGUGUUUGUCUCGCCUCUGCGUGUAGACUCGCCUCAAAAUAAUUGGCAGCCGGCGUAUUGAUUUCGGAGCGCAGUACAUCUCGCGCUUUGCACUCAUAACGACGACGUCCAAAAGUACAUUUUUACACUCUUGACCUCGGAUCAGGUAGGGAUACCCGCUGAACUUAAGCAUAUCAAUAAGCGGAGGA
rnacentral:misc_RNA from 1 species